AUUUCCCUGCAGUGUUCGUGUACCGGAUGUUACGCUUUCGACCGAUAUAACAAUAAUGGGACACAAGCGCGGAACCUUCUCCGAUGCCAUGCCUUUACUGGAAGGCAGCACGGGAACGCGCCGUCCCCCCUUUAACGGAGGGUAGAAAGACCUCAUCCUAACGGCACAGGCGGGGAUUUU
rnacentral:other from 1 species